GGGGAUUUAGCUCAGUGGUAGAGCGCUUGCCUGGGCCCUAGCGAAGAAGCGCAAGGCCCUGGGUUCGGUCCCCAGCUCCG
rnacentral:tRNA from 1 species